rnacentral:rRNA from 1 species
GACGAACGCUGGCGGCGUGCUUAACACAUGCAAGUCGAACGGUGAAGCGCCUUCCUUUUUGGUGGGUGUGGAUGAGUGGCGAACGGGUGAGUAACACGUGAGUAACCUGCCCCCUUCUUCUGGAUAACCGCAUGAAAGUGUGGCUAAUACGGGAUGUUCUGGGUCUGUCGCAUGAUGGGUCUGGGAAAGAUAUUGUUUCGGUGGGGGAUGGGCUCGCGGCCUAUCAGCUUGUUGGUGGGGUGAUGGCCUACCAAGGCGGUGACGGGUAGCCGGCCUGAGAGGGUGGACGGUCACACUGGGACUGAGACACGGCCCAGACUCCUACGGGAGGCAGCAGUGGGGAAUAUUGCACAAUGGGCGCAAGCCUGAUGCAGCGACGCCGCGUGAGGGAUGGAGGCCUUCGGGUUGUGAACCUCUUUCGCCAGUGAAGCAGGCCUGCCUCGUUUGUGGGUGGGUUGACGGUAGCUGGAUAAGAAGCGCCGGCUAACUACGUG